CUAGCUCAUAUGUGUAUGGAGUGGGAACGUUUGCCUACGUUUGCCGCCAGGGCCGCUGUUCCAACUGCAUACAAAAUUGGCCUA
rnacentral:pre_miRNA from 1 species